UACGUAGGGGGCAAGCGUUGUCCGGAAUCAUUGGGCGUAAAGAGCGUGUAGGCGGCUCGGUAAGUCCGCUGUGAAAGUCCAGGGCUCAACCCCGGAAUGCCGGUGGAAACUGUCGAGCUAGAGUCCGGAAGAGGCGAGUGGAAUUCCUGGUGUAGCGGUGAAAUGCGCAGAUAUCAGGAGGAACACCAAUGGCGAAGGCAGCUCGCUGGGACGGUACUGACGCUCAUGCACGAAAGCGUGGGGAGCAAACAGG
rnacentral:rRNA from 1 species